UACGGGGGGGGCAAGCGUUGUUCGGAAUUACUGGGCGUAAAGGGCUCGUAGGCGGCCAACUAAGUCAGACGUGAAAUCCCUCGGCUUAACCGGGGAACUGCAUCUGAUACUGGAUGGCUUGAGUUCGGGAGAGGGAUGCGGAAUUCCAGGUGUAGCGGUGAAAUGCGUAGAUAUCUGGAGGAACACCAAUUGCGAAGGCAGCUCGCUGGGACGUUACUGACGCUGAGACGCGAAAGCGUGGGGGGCAAACAGG
rnacentral:rRNA from 1 species